rnacentral:ncRNA from 1 species
AGCAAGCAUUCGCUGGAACAAUCUUACGUUGUCCGAAAGGACGGCAGCCCCAAUUAGGGUGGGAUCGUAAGACCAGGGGCUUGCUAAGGU